rnacentral:rRNA from 1 species
UACGAAGGGGGCGAGCGUUGUUCGGAUUUACUGGGCGUAAAGCGCACGUAGGCGGCCUAGCAAGUUGGAUGUGAAAUCCCUCGGCUCAACCGAGGACGUGCAUCCAAAACUGCUGGGCUUGAGUACUGAAGAGGAUCGCGGAAUUCCCGGUGUAGAGGUGAAAUUCGUAGAUAUCGGGAGGAACACCAGUGGCGAAGGCAGCCCCCUGGGUCAAGACUGACGCUCAUGCACGAAAGCGUGGGGAGCAAACAGG